AAUUCUAGAGGCCAAAAGUUCAAAAUCGAGGUGUCAACAGGGGCUGUGCUCCCUGCCAAGACCCUAUGAAGAACUCUGUAGUCGCCUCUUCUAGCUUUGGUGGUCCCGGUCAUUCCCUUGGCUUGUAGAUACAUCACCCCAGUUACCGCCUCCAUCUUCACAGGGCACUCUCUGUAUAUCUGCAUCCAGGUUGCCCUUGUCUCAGGGACACAGUCUUCAGAGUGAGAGCCAUUCUAAUCCAGCAUGACCUCAUCUUCACUUGUUACAUCUACAAAGACCCUGAUUCCGAAUAAGGUCACAGGCAUGGGUACUGGGGUUAGGACUUUCCAGGAAGAAUGGAAAAGAUAUCUUUCCAGAGAGAAUGAAACUAUGCCAUUAGCAGCAACAUGGAUGUCAUACUAAGUGAAGGGAUGCAAUCCAACCCACAGCUACCUUUUCCCAGACGCAAGGCCAAUAGUAAUUGAUCAUGAGAUUUUCUGCUGCAUACCCAUCACAACCCUUCUCCAAGCAGCUGUCAUGACUACGUCUCCAAGCAAUCAGAGUCUGCACCUUGGGUGAAGGCAACGUGGCCUCCUGGGUCCCACUAAAGGGAUGCAUCUAUGAUAAUGACCGUGAGCUUGUGGGUGAGAUCGCACUGGCACCUUCAAGCCAUGUCGGUGGCCCUCUUAUUCACGAGGGGAGCCCCGCCAAGAGGUCGCCCUGGAUAGCCUUGUUGCCAGUCCAUCUCCUUCUUGGCUCAGCAGGUACUGUGACACGUGACCACCGCCUUAAAUUCACAGAGGAAAAAGUCCCGCUACUUUUUUCUGAGUCCACAAUCCACGUGCACCAUGGCGUGGCCUGGUUCCAACUUCACUCCAUGCACACAUCUCUCCUCCCUCCACUCCCUGCAGAUUGGAAAUAGUGAUACACAGCCACCUCACAGGGCUGUCGGGCCAUUUAAUUAAUGUUUAUAAAGCACUCUGAGGUCUUCGGAUGAAAACUGCUGUGUAAGUGCAAAAUUAUUAUUAGUUCUCAGCCCCCGUCCCUUGACCUCUGGCAUGGGCUUUUGUUGUUCCUGAAUGGGAGCUGUUUAUGGGCUGCUCAGCUGGCCCUUUCGGGUGCAUAGGCCAGUACAUACGCAUUUGCAGGCUUUUUUUCCUUUGAGAAAAGCAUUCCAACUCGGUGGGAUGUCUUGCAGGUUUUCACCAUCUGAAUGUCUCCCUACUUAUCUCUGCUGAGUACUGUGAUCUCCAAGAGUAGAUUGUAAACAGGUUCUGCUGGAACAGAGGGAGGGGGAAAUGGUCAUUUUGAAGAAAUGGCCCCUCCUAUAAAGAAGAAUCAAAUGAUUUCCUUCUCAUGCAGAAUCUGAAUGAAUCACUCAGGGAAGUCUGUCUCCCUUGCCCAGAGGGAUCCUGUGCAUGUUUAUACACCAAAAGGAGAGAAGAAUAGCAGAUUUGCUUUCAGUGCCCAAGUUUCUCUUCCUUCCUUCGCCCAAACUUCUCGGGAACCAUGGAAACAAACAUACCCCGCCUAGAGGAUGUUUUCCUUCUUGUCUUUGUUGCCUAGCUGUGCACUUGCCUGAGCUCCCGUGGGGAGAAUGAAAUGAAGAAGUGGUAACGAGAAAAGAUAACGUCUGCAAGUGAAAUGCCUGUCUCUGAAAGACAGAAUGGGGCUCGUGUGUCAUUCAUCAAGCUCUGGGGCAAUGAACAAUGUCUUAAGGUACCAUUUUCCUUUUCUAUAAAACAUAUUCAUACUCAUCCCUCAAUAUUCACGCACAAUCCACUAGGAUCCCUUCAAGGUAUCUUUUGGUUUAUCUGAAUGCUUGGUUAGCAGGGUUGGUUAGUCAACUGCUGGAAGAUUUUUACUUUUAAAAAAUCGCUAAGGUGCCAUCAUGUAGCACAUAAUCAGUAGGACAAACGUAUAAAGCCAUGGGGCCAAUGAAAGCAGCAAGUGUUUGCCAUAUCCCAUAAAAAAAAAAUAAAACCGAAA